rnacentral:rRNA from 1 species
UGUCCAGACUCCUACGGGAGGCAGCAGUGGGGGAUAUUGGACAAUGGGGGAAACCCUGAUCCAGCGACGCCGCGUGGGUGAAGGAGCACCUCGGUGCGUAAAGCCCUAUCGGCAGGGAAGAAACAGACGGUACCUGACUAAGAAGCCCCGGCUAACUACGUGCCAGCAGCCGCGGUAAUACGUAGGGGGCAAGCGUUAUCCGGAUUCACUGGGUGUAAAGGGUGCGUAGACGGAAGAACAAGUUGGUUGUGAAAUCCCUCGGCUCAACUGAGGAACUGCAACCAAAACUAUUCUCCUUGAGUGUCGGAGAGGAAAGUGGAAUUCCUAGUGUAGCGGUGAAAUGCGUAGAUAUUAGGAGGAACACCAGUGGCGAAGGCGACUUUCUGGACGAUAACUGACGUUGAGACACGAAAGUGUGGGGAGCAAACAGGAUUAGAUACCCUUGUA